rnacentral:lncRNA from 1 species
CCUCCCACUUCAGCCUCCUGAGUAGCUGGAACUACAGGUAGAAGCACUUGAAAAAACAAUCAGGACCAACCUGUCUUUCCGUCUCCAAGAGAAGUUGAAUCAAGAUCUGGCAUUGAUCAUGAGAUCCUGGACAUAAUGUCAAUGCAAUCAUUGGACAAGUCUUUUGGGAUAUCUUGGGGAAGAGGAUGAGUAUAUUUUUCCCAGCAGCCAGGAAGGAAAUGAAUAUUUAUGAUCCAGUGUGCAGAUCAUGGUAGAUUGGAUUAUUGUUUUCAAUUCUUCACUCUCUCCCUGUGUUUGGAUUUCACAGCUACAUACUUUGUUAUAUGACUUUGCGGUAUCUCCUGUUAGAAUAGAUGGAGUCCAUUUCUCUCCUGGCAUUGGGUUUGGGUGUGUGAGUUUUGGGUGGAUAGAACAUACGCCACAUCUGAGUGAAAGAUGACUACUAUGUUGUGUAAAUAAACACACAAACCAAAACAACAACAAGAACAACCAAAAUAAAUUUCAGGAUAAUGUCUUGAGUUUUUAAAAGUGUGACAAUGAUAUGUCUUGCUAUGAAUUUCUUUAGGUUUAUCCUGUUAAGAAUUUGCUCAGCCUUUUUAACCUGUAGGUUUUAGUCUUUUGCCAGAUUUGGGUUAUUUUCAGCCAUUAUUUCUUUAGGUGUUUUUUCAGCCCUACCCUACUUCUGAGAUUCUAGUGACACAAUGUUGGAUCUUUUUUUGUAGUCCCACAGGUCUCUGAGGCGCUGAUCAUUUAUUUUUUCAGCCUAUUUUCUCUGUGUUGUUCACGUUGUGUAAUUUAUUGUUCUGUCUUCCAGUUCACUGAUUCUUUCCUUUGGAACCCUCCAUUCUGCUAUUGAACCCAUCAUUGAGGGUUUUUUUUUUUUUUCCUGGUAUUGUAUAU